UUAAAUUGAAGAGUUUGAUCAUGGCUCAGAUUGAACGCUGGCGGCAGGCCUAACACAUGCAAGUCGAACGGUAACAGGAAGAAGCUUGCUUCUUUGCUGACGAGUGGCGGACGGGUGAGUAAUGUCUGGGAAACUGCCUGAUGGAGGGGGAUAACUACUGGAAACGGUAGCUAAUACCGCAUAACGUCGCAAGACCAAAGAGGGGGACCUUCGGGCCUCUUGC
rnacentral:rRNA from 1 species